GGGAGGGCGGAGCGCGGGCCGCGCCACAGCGGCGGGUGGUGCGGGACGUGGUGGUGGGUUGCUGUCCCUGCGGUCGUAUCGAGGAGCUCAGUUAGGCUCCGUGAGGGGUUGCGGUGUUACUGAGGACUGCGAGAGGCCGUGAGCCCUCUCAGCUCUGCCCCUUGUGAGGAGAAGGGCCGCCCCAGCCCCGAAUGAAGGAGCACUCUUCGCAGUCUCCUCCCUGAUCUGUGUCCCUGCGUGCCAGAAGCAUCGCUCAGUGAGACUUAAACAAGAAAUACCUUGUGCUACACUGCCACCUGUGCACCCUUGUUUGACUGAUGCUUGAUCCCGUCUGCUGGGAAGGCUGGCUGAAUGGAGGCAGACCCAUCUCCUCUUUCUCUCCUCUGGAACGUGCUUUCAGUCUGCUGCUGCAGUGCAGAUUUGCAGCUGGGUUCUGCUCAGGGUGUGUGGCUGCUCGGCCUCACUGCUGCUUUCCUGCACUGGAUGCGUGCACCUCCAGGAGUGUUGGUUCUUCUGCAUCUCAGGGAAGGAGACUUAUCCUCAUCUGCGCCCUUUUCAGCUGUGAAGGAAGUGUUGGUGCAGGGUCUCCAGGAGGGCCAUAGGUCCUAUGGGUCAACCUGGGCUCAUCCACGCAGAGCUCCUCCUGGCGCAGUGUGUCUGCCAUAUCCCAGCCCUGAGCAGAUGUGGCUCAGAGAGAACGCGGCGCCACCGCAGGGAGGGGACAUCAACCUCAAUGGGCAGCGAUGGUGGCAGUGAUCCCCUUGGGCUGAGCCAUGCAGGAACCC
ensembl:lncRNA